GACGUAGGGGGCGAGCGUUGUCCGGAAUUACUGGGCGUAAAGAGCGUGUAGGCGGGCUGUUAAGUCAGGUGUGAAAUACCGCAGCUCAACUGCGGGGUGGCACUUGAUACUGGCAGUCUUGAGGGCAGGAGAGGGAAGUGGAAUUCCUGGUGUAGCGGUGAAAUGCGUAGAUAUCAGGAGGAACACCAGUGGCGAAGGCGGCUUCCUGGACUGACCCUGACGCUGAGACGCGAAAGCGUGGGGAGCAAACAGG
rnacentral:rRNA from 1 species